GAUGAACGCUGGCGGCGCGCCUAACACAUGCAAGUCGAACGAUUAAGGCACCUUCGGGUGUGUAUAAAGUGGCGAACGGCUGAGUAACACGUGGGCAACCUGCCCCUCUCAUUGGGAUAGCCACGGGAAACCGUGGAUAAUACCGAAUACUUCGGGACUUCCGCAUGGAAGACUCGAGAAAGCUCCGGCGGAGAGGGAUGGGCCCGCGGCCUGUUAGCUUGUUGGUGGGGUAAUGGCCUACCAAGGCAAUGAUGGGUAGCUGGGUUGAGAGACCGACCAGCCAGAUUGGGACUGAGACACGGCCCAGACUCCUACGGGAGGCAGCAGUGGGGAAUCUUGCACAAUGGGCGAAAGCCUGAUGCAGCGACGCCGCGUGCGGGAUGAAGGCCUUCGGGUUGUAAACCGCUUUCAGCAGGGACGAGGCGAAAGUGACGGUACCUGCAGAAGAAGCCCCGGCUAACUACGUG
rnacentral:rRNA from 1 species